AUAUCACCUUCCCAGAGAGCCUCUCCUGCCUGUCCAGUCCAGAGUAACUUCCCCAAAGCCACCCUUCUCUAUCAUUCCAGCCCUUGUUAGUUUCAUCAUAGCAUUUAUCAUUUUCUGAGAUGAUCUUUCUUGUUCUGUUAUUUGCUUUAAUGUCUAAAGCCCCUUUAAAGAAUGUAAGCUCCAUGAGGAAAAUGAAUUUGUACAUCUUGUUUCCUGCUAUAUCACCAGCAUUUACAAAAAAAAGCUGGCCAACAAUAUUUAUGGAAGUGAAAUAAAUAUGGAUAAAUGCAUAAUUAGUUAACCAAAUCUCUGAGUCUGGAGCUAUUGACUUUUCUACCAAAUAAACCUAUUUGUAUCAUACUUCAGACUCCAAGACAAAAGUAUGUCUCACUAGCCACAAUUUAUGGAAACAUAUUCAACAGUAUGAGAAAUGCAAAUCAAAACUACAAUGACGUGUCACCUCACACUGGUCAGAAUGGCCAUCAUCAAAAUGUUUACAAACAAUAAAUGCUGGAGAAGCUGUGAAGAAAAGGGAAUCCUCCUACACAGUCGAUGGGAAUGUAAAUUGGUACAACCGCUAGGGAAAACAGUAUGAGGGUUCCUUAAAAAAUUAAACAUAGAGCUACCAUUUAAUCCAAGAAUCCCACUCCUAGGAGUAUAUUCAGAGAAACCUAUACUUUAAAAAGAUGCAUGCACUCGAGUGCUCACUGCAGAAAUAUUUACAAUAGCCAAGACAUGGAAGCAAUCUAAAUGUUCAUUGACAGAGAAACAGAUAAAGAUGUGGUACAUAUAUAUAAUGGGAUAUUAUUCAGCCAUAAAAAUGAAAGAAGUAAUGCCGUCUGCAGCCACAUGGAUGGACCUAGAGAUGAUCAUACUAUGUGAAGUGAACAGGACAGAGAAAGACAAAUAUCAUAUGAAAUUGCUUGGAUGCAGAAUCUUAAAAAAAAAAAUGAUACAAAUGAAUUUAUUUACAAAAUAGAAAUGGACUCACAGUCUUCAAAAAAACCUUAUAAUAGCCAAAGGAGAAAUGUGGGGGGAAGGAAUAAAUUAGGAGUUUGGUAUUAACACAUACUCACUGCUAUAUAAAAAUAGAUAGUCAACAAGGACCUACUGGAUACUACAGGGAACUCUACUCUAUAUUCUAUAAUAACCCCUAUGGGAAAAGAAUCUUAAAAAGAAUGAAUAUAUGUAUAUGUAUAAAUGAAUCACUUCGCCACACACCUGAAACUAACACAACAUUGUAGAUCAACUAUACUUCAAUAUAAAAUAAAAUUUAAAUUUUAAAAAUACACAUUAAACAAAAACAAAAUGCAAAUAUUUGGGACCCACCCCAGACCUACGGAAUUAGAGUUUCUGGUGAUGGAGUCCAGGAAAUUUUUAUACCAAUCUCCUCCCAUGACUCUGAACUUUGAGAAGCACGGAACUUUGAGAAGCACUCAUCUAGUUCAAGUUAGGACACACUUUGAGCCCAGCAACUUCCUUUCUGCUGCAAAAAUUAUUAGAAACUAAAUGAUAAUUGCAGGUGCAGAAAUGCUUAGCACACAGGAGGUGCUCAAGAGACAAUGGUCUUCUUGCAUUUGUUUAUUAAAACAAUGUAUAUACCUAAUUGGUUUCUGUUGGUCAGGAUUCUGACAAUCUUUCUUUUUUUUUUCUGGAUAUUCAACCCACCAGAAGAGAGAAAGUGAAGUCAAGCGAACUGUGUAUCCAUAAGGAAAGAAACAAAAGAGG
rnacentral:lncRNA from 1 species